rnacentral:rRNA from 1 species
UACGGGGGGGGCAAGCGUUGUUCGGAAUUACUGGGCGUAAAGGGCUCGUAGGCGGCCAACUAAGUCGGAUGUGAAAUCCCCAGGCUCAACUUGGGAACUGCAUCCGAUACUGGAUGGCUUGAAUCCGGGAGAGGGAUGCAGAAUUCCAGGUGUAGCGGUGAAAUGCGUAGAUAUCUGGAGGAAUACCGGUGGCGAAGGCGGCAUCCUGGACCGGCAUUGACGCUGAUGAGCGAAAGCGUGGGGAGCGAACAGG